GUUCGAUUCCUGUACCUACUAGUAUUCUCCUUUAGUACUUUACCCUUCAUUGAAACGGUAGCAGGAACAGGUGCAUCAGUAUUAACAUCGACCUUCUCGGGUUCUGAAUCUUGUGCCACAGCUUCAAUCAGUUCUUCGAGAUUCACAGCAUUUGUCGAUCCUGCCACCUUCUUCUUAGCUCUCUUUUCACGCUCCUGAAAAAAAGAUCGAAAGAGUUUCAGUUUCAACCCACAAACUAAUAACUGAUAAAGCGAAACUAGAUAAGGAAGCAAAUGAUUUCCUUGAGCUUCUUUUCAGCUUCCAUUUAAGCUCUUCUAGCUGCUUUGGCUGCUGCUUUUUCAGCCAACUUCUUUUUUCUUUCCAUAGCUUACUUUGCUUUUGCUAUUUCCUCUUCUCUCUUCAAUUCUUUCAGUUUUGCUGCAUCGACUUCCUUGUUCUUUUGCAAUUUUUCGGAUACCAAAAUUUCCUCUGCUACAACACUAAUAUCUGACAAAGGAUUCGACUCCAUUGCUAUAGUCUCGACAUGUUUUGGGGCCUUUUUUGCUAGUUUCGUAUCUGUUUGGGGACUUGAUUUGGCCUCUUCCUUUGGUUAUCUUACACUAGGUCUCAGAAUUGUUUCGGUUUCAGAAUCCACUAGUUUCUCGGGUGCAACCAGUGGUUUCUCAUCAAGAUUCCUUAUUCGACCAUCCCGACUCAAUAGCCGACUGUCCAGGGAUGGCAAAAUUUUUUUCUCAUAAUCAUCCCUAAAGGCUUUAUUGCCAUUCCAGAGAGCCAUAACCUUCUCAACCUAAAAUUAUAAAGCAAAUGAGAUACAUUGGAAGUAACAUUAACAAGCAGUCUCAACAAACCUCCACAAUUGAUAACUCCUCAAGAGCCUUUAUAUCUUUCUGUGCAGCAAGUAAUUUGGCGUUGUGUACAAUGGUACGACUCUGGUAAAAGUGAGAAUUCUGAAAUUUUGAGAAAGAAAGUAAUUAAAAUGAUUCAUUAGUAACAUCAUGCACAGGAAUAUUGGAAGAAGACAUAAUAUGUAUCAUUUAAUAUCUUAAGUGAUACUAGUUAUCCAUGCAUAAAUGAAAAUGUUCCGACAUGGUCAAGUAUUAUACGAAACAGAUAUCUUAAGAGUUGAAGCAAAGAAAAGGCGAUACCCCCUGAUCACUUUGUUUCCUCAACUCCUAAAUGUUUUCAAAAGCUUUGUGCCUCUUCAGGGUCACAGCUUUCAGCUCAUUUUGUAAAGUGUUGAAUGUAGUUCCCAUGCAAGAUGCUUCCCAUGCAAAGGUGGCCAUGCAAGAAACAAAGGAGCAGCAAUCAGUCGAGCCACGGUGUGCAGCAACUGGAGCUGAAGCUGUCGAACCACUUGCUGUUUUUAGUUGCAUUUUGAUUAUUUUGUAAUCUAGUUCAUGUUGAACUAAGUAGGUGGAUGUUUUGAUGUAAUUAGGUGCUGAAUGACAAGUUUAGGUGACUUGUUAUGAGUGUUCAAACAAGUUUACCAAGUUACUAGGCAAAUUAGUGGUGUUAGGUAUAUUAUUAGGUGAUAACUUGUUUGUUUUGUUUUGUUAACUCUUAUAUGUAUUGGCAUUAUGCCUCUUUUAAUAGUUAAUGAAAAUUUAGCUCAUUUUUAUUCAAAUUUUAUCUCUUUCAUUCUCUAUUUUCUGUUGCAAAUUUUUCUUUCUUCUUCUGUUGUUUUUGCUGCAAGCCUCGAGGCUUGCUGUCCAAGCAAAGCUGAAAUCAGCUUGCUGCUGCCUCUUGCACCAACAAUUGGUAUCUAGAGCUCUUAUCUUAGUGGACCUGUUGCUUCAAACCAAGGAAUCUGAUGGCUUCUUCAGGAUUUUCACCAGCAGCCCCACUAGUCUUCAAUGGAGAAGGCUUCCACAUAUGGCUGGUAAAGAUGAAGACUUACCUGCAGGCCUUUGAUCUGUGGGAAGUUGUCAACACAGAUUCUGAGCCAGCACCACUGAGGGCCAAUCCCACAGUAGCUCAGAUCAGGCAACAUGCUGAUGAGAGGACCAAAAGGCAUAAAGCCAUGUCCUGCAUUCAGAACUGUGUGUCAGAUGUCAUCUUCACCAGAAUUAUGGCCUGUGAGACUCCAAAACAGGCCUGGGACAAGCUUAAGGAGGAGUUUCAAGGCACUGAGAGGACAAGGCAACAGCAGCUGUUGAAUUUGAGAAGGGAUUUCGAGAAUCUGAAGAUGAAGGAAGAAGAAACAGUGAAGCAGUAUGCAGAUAGAACCAUGGCAAUGGUUAACAGUAUAAGGCUCCUUGGUGAGCACUUUGAUGAGGCAGGAAUAGUGGAGAAAGUCCUCUCCACUUUGCCUGAGAGAUAUGAGGCCAAAAUAUCCUCUCUAUAGGACUCAAGAGAUCUGGCUAGCAUCUCUUUGACUGAACUGAUUAACACCUUCUAUGCUUAGGAACAAAGGAGAGCCAGUAGAGCUGAAGAUCACCAGGAAGGUGCAUUUCAAGCCAAGGCAAGAGAGGCCUCGAGCACCAAUGCUCAAAGAGGCAAAAAGCCUUGGAAAAGUAGGCCCAAGUCUAAUGCUGCAAGGAGCAAUGACCAGCCCUGCAGACAUUGCAAGAGGCCAGGCCAUCCAGAAGACAGAUGUUGGUUCAGGCCAAAUGCAGUAUGUCAACACUACAAGAAGAAAGGCCAUGUUGAAAGGGUUUGCAAAAAAAAAACCAAGCCGAGGCAGAGUCAAUAUCAACAACCAAAGGUUGAAGCUCGAGUAGCUGAGGACAGUAGUGACCAAGAAGAGCAGGUCUUUGCUGUUUCUUGCUUAGCUGCUGAGAAAAAAUGUUCAAAAGGCUGGUUAUUGGACAGUGGUUGCACUAACCACAUGUCACCAGAUGCUUCCUUGUUUAAAAUCUUGGAUAGAAGUUGCAAAACCAAUGUCAAGGUUGGAAAUGGUCAGUUCAUAAGGGAUGAAGGAAGAGGAGAGGUGCUGAUAUGUACUCCUACAGGCAAAAAGGUCAUUCCAAAUGUGCUUUUGGUACCUGAAAUUGACGGAAACCUUCUCAGCAUAACUCAACUGCUUGAGAAGGGCUAUUCCGUUGUGUUCAAGGAUAAAAAGUGUCAGAUUGCUGAUCUAAGUGGAUCAAGCCUUAUGACAGUCACAAUGACUGAUAAAUGCUUUGAAGUUCAUUGGCCAAAUGACUCAAAGUCAGCAUACACAGCCUCUGUUGAUGAUUCCAAGCUUUGGCAUCAAAGGCUCGGGCAUGCCAACUUUAAAUCAAUGGCUCGAAUGGCCAAAGAGGGCUUGGCAGAGAACUUCACCGCUCAGUGGAGCAUGAUGAUGUGUGUGAAGUGUGCCAAAUGGGAAAACAGGAAAGACUGCCAUUUCCCACAAAUUCAGCAUGGAGAGCCAUUGAAAAACUGCAGCUGGUGCACUCUGAUGUAUGUGGCCCAAUGAGGACUGAAUCACUCAGCAAAAACAGGUAUUUCAUCCUCUUCAUUUAUGAUUUUACAAGGUUUUGCUGGAUUUUUUUCUUGAAACACAAGUCUGAGGUAGCUCAAGUGUUUGUGAAGUUUAAAAUGGCCGUUGAGACAGAAACAGGUUGCAAGCUGAAAUCGAUAAGGUCAGACAAUGGCACUGAGUACACUUCAGCUCAGUUUCAAGCCAUUUGCAAUGAUGCUGGCAUCAAACACCAGCUUACAAAUGUCUACACACCUCAGCAGAAUGGGGUAUCUGAAAUAAAGAACAGAAGUCUGAUGGAUAUGGCCAGGUGUCUGUUGUUUGAGAAGAAACUGCCCAAGAUCAUGUGGGCUGAGGCAGUAAACACUGCUGUCUACCUUCAAAAUAGGCUUCCUACCAAAGCUCUUGCUUCCAAGACACCUUUCGAGGCUUGGUUUGGAUUCAAGCCUUCCUUAGCACACCUGAAUGUGUUUGAUUGCCUGUGUUAUGCACAAAUACCAGCAGCAAAGAGGGACAAGCUCUCUGAAAGGGCUCAACCCGGUGUUCUAGUGGGCUAUAGCUUAGUCAAGAAGGGCUACAGGGUUCUGGAUCCCUUGACAAGCAAAGUCCAGGUAAGCAGAGAUGUCAUCUUUAAUGAAAAGGCUUGCUGGAAUUGGGAAAAGAGUGAACCAGAAGCUAUUUUAGAAGACCUGGUGCCUAAUCAAGCUGAACUCGAGCAGCUUGGUCCUGAGAUGGAUGUUGAUGAUGUGCCUGUGAGAGGUACAAGGCCUCUAGAUGAGAUUUAUGAAAGGGCACAGGUUGCUAUAGCAGAACCUAGCAGUUUUGAAGAAGCUGAGGCAAAUGAAGGCUGGAAACAGGCCAUGGUUGAUGAAAUCAACAUGAUUCAAAAGAAGUAGACAUGGGAGCUAGUUGACAAGCCUGUUGGAAAAAAGACCAUUGGAGUAAAAUGGGUCUAUCGAGCAAAACAAAAUGCUGAUGGCAGUCUAAACAAGCUAAAAGCCAGGCUUGUUGUCAAAGGAUUUAGCCAAAGGUAUGGUAUGGACUACCUAGAGACUUUUGCACCAGUAGCCAGGCUUGACAUAGUCAGAAUGAUAGUUGCCUUAGCUGCUCAACAUCAGUGGACCAUUCAUCAGCUUAAUGUGAAGUCUGCAUUUCUCAAUGGUUUCCUGGAAGAAAAGAUCUACAUCGAGAAGCCUCAAGGGUUUGUGAUCACUGGCAAAGAACACAUGGUGUACAGGCUAAAAAAGGCCUUGCAUGGCCUGAAGCAGGCUCCUCGAGCCUGGUAUGCUCGAAUUGAUUCCUACUUGCUCAGUUUGGAGUUUGAGAGAAGUGCCAGUGAACCAACACUGUAUGUGAAGAAAAAUCAAGCUGAGACUCAGCUUAUCCUGUCACUCUAUGUUGAUGAUUUGUUGGUAACUGGAGGAGACAAGAACAUGUUGCAUGAUUUCAAGAGGAAAAUGAUGAAGAUGUUUGAGAUGUCUGAUCUAGGCAGAAUGAACUACUUCCUAGGAAUGGAAGUGAAGCAAACAGCAAAUGGAAUCUUCCUCAGCCAGAGUUCAUUUGCUAUGAAGGUCUUAAACAAGUUCUCGAUGAAGAACUGCAAGCCAACAAGCACACCAAUGGCUGUUGGAAUGAAGCUAUCGAAACAAGAAACUGGUGAACCAGUUUGUGAGACUAUGUACAAGAGUCUCAUUGGUAGUCUACUGUAUUUGACUGCAACAAGGCCCGAUAUCGUGUUUACAGUUAGUGUGCUAUCCAGAUACAUGAAUUGCUACAACAAUCAGCACUUUCAAGCAGCUAAAAGAGUACUGAGAUACAUCAAAGGCACCAUUGAUCAUGGUGUGUUGUUCAAAAGGGUUGAAAACAUGAAGUUAACAGGUUAUGUCGAUAGUGAUUGGGUUGGAUUGUGUGAUGACAUGAGAAGUACAUCCGGAUAUGCAUUCAGCCUUGCUGGAGCUUCAAGAAGUACAUCUGGCCUAAUGAAUCUUGAAUCUUUGAUCUCAUUGCAGCAUUAGCAAUAACUUUCUCGCGGGAUCCCUCCAGGUGUUUGAUUUCUUUAAGGAUUCGCUUCUCCUCACUCAACGAGAUGCUUUCAUGCUGAAUGCGAUAUUGCAAGCUAUGGAUCUGCAAUUCAUAAAUUCCAUUGAAGUGACUAAAGGAGAAAAAGAAAAGCAUUAACUGCGGCAGCAAACAAUGAAUAAAUCUAAAUGCAGUCAAAGUUUAUAGAAGUAUCAUACAAUAAAAUCGAGCUCUUCCUGAGAUGCACAUAAACUAAGUCGAUUAUUAACAUUUUUAUUAUUGCGAAGCUUGCCCAAAGCCUACUGCAGUGGUUCUAUUUCCUUUUUUUUCUCAUCUAAAAUCGUCUUAAAUUGCUCAAAAUCAACAUUCAGCGCUCCCACUUGCGAAAGCAUCUCUGAUCGUUCUGCCUGCAUUAGCAUAAAGAUAAUCACAAUUUAGCCAACUGACAGCGCCAUUAUUUUUUACUUCUUUCACAUUUUUUCUCAAAUUCUGAAGGAAACACAACAAUAACGAAUCAUUAUACCAAUAGCAUAUCUGUAAGUGUCAUUACUUUUCAAGGACAUAAAUUUCAAACAUUCAAAUAAAUACAAAUAGUAACAAUUUAGGGUCAAAAUGUAAAUUUUCAAUUUUUGUAUUUUUUUGAUUUGUUUAUUAUUAUUCUACUAUUAUUAAUAUAUCAUAAAAAUAAAAAAAAUAAAAACACUAAUGGGCUAAAACCCAAACAAGUCCAAAAUUAAACCCAAGUAUACAAUCACAACGGGCCCAAUCAUUUUGCCCAGCCCAAACCCGUAAUUUGGAAAAAAAAUUAAAACACGAAAUCUGAACCGGACAAAAUUUAGUGAUUACAAGUACCCCUCUUUGCUCAUCACUAUGAAACAGGAAUAGAGUAAAAACUUAAAAGCACUGAAUUUUGUUCUAUUAUCCAAUUGUUUUUUCAAAGGAACUUGACUCAUGAUGCAAUUUUGAAAGUAACGAUUACUUCGGAAAAAAAUCCACUUGACAACGAAUUGGAAAUUAAAAUACCUCGGCAAGUAAUAAAAACUGAAAUGGAUUUGGAUGGAACCAAAACUUUGAAAACAAAUAAAAGAGUGAAAUUUAAAAUACCUCGGCGUGCAACCCGGGGCUCAACUCACCUCUCGGAUUAUAAGUUGAUCUUUAAAAAACAACAAUUGAAAAUACGUUAGUGUGCGACCCUAGGCUCAACUCACUUCUCGGAUUAUGAGUUGAUUUUCAAAAAAUAGAAAUUAAAAAUACCUCAACGUGCGACCCGAGGCUCAACUCACCUAUCAGAUUAUGAGUUGAUUUUUGAAAAAUAGAAACUGAAAAAUACCUCAGCGUGCGACCCGAGGCUUAGCUCACCUCUCAGAUUAUGAGUUGAUUUUUGAAAAAUAGAAAUUGAAAAAUACCUCAACGUAUGACCUAAGGCUCAACUCACUUCUCGGAUUAUGAGUUGAUUUUUGAAAAAUAGAAAUUGAAAAUACAUCAGUGUAUGACCCGAGGCUCAACUAACUUAUCAAAUUAUGAGUUAAUUUUUGAAAAACAGAACUUGAAAAAUACCUCAACAUGCGACCUGAGGCUCGACUCACUUCUUGGAUUAUGAGUUUAUUUUUAAAAAAGAGAAAUUGAUAAAUACCUCAACGUGCGACCCAAGGCUCAACUCUCUUCUUGGAUUAUGAAUUGAUUUUUGACAAACAGAAAGGAAAUUAUUCUUGAAAGAGUCAGAGUUUCGAAAAAGAUUAUCAUGUGAAACUCAAAAGCCUUCUUUUUCAUUGAUUCAGUGUAGCUGCCACCAAAGUCUCUUGCUCUACUAGAAUGCCUGUAUAUGUCAUGUAUGAUGUUAUUAUGAUAUGCACGUGUUUGUCGUAAAUGUUUUUAUGCCUACAUGAUCAUGCCAUGCACCUGGACUGUUUGUCACGUGCCCUUUUUUGGUCAUGAUUUUCGUGAGGGUCCACAUUCAUUGCCUCAAUCCUUGACUUUUCUCUCAGAUUUUGUACUUCUCCUCAAGUUCUUGUCAUUAACCCACAUUUCUUCGUAUAUUGCCCUCUUGCCCCCUGUUAAACAUUGCUUUUGCUUCGAAGUCUUCGAUCUUUAAUACUAACACAUCGAGAUAUAUUUGAUGCAUAUGUAUCUAGAACAUUUAUAUCCUUCAACACCAUGCAGAACACUUCUUUCUCUAUAUUUAACAUUGAAAAAAAUAGAAGGCGGCAACCGAUAUUUCCCAUUCGAAAGUGCUUGGGGAUGAAGAAUUUGUCGAAUUCCCAUGUGGACUAAAUCAAGUCAACUCUGAAAAUUAUCUUUCGAUUUUCCAUUGACAUUCAAAAUUGUCCCGAUGAUGUUCUCGCAAACAUUUUUCUCAAUGUGCAUGACAUCAAGAUUGUAGCGUAAAAUGUGAUGCUCCUAAUAAGGCAACUCAAAAAAAUACUUCUUUUUUUCCACAAGUCUGUCUCAUUAGGAUCAUCCUCUUCAUCAGAUUCAUCAUUUGAUCUUCUAUUUCUUUGUGUGUUCGGCAGUUGGUUCAUCAGAUUUUAUUUUUUUACUUCUAUUUUUCCAGAAGUUUCGGUACUAAUUUACUUCUGUUGACUUCUGUUUUGUUUACUUUUGUUUUUUUACUUCUGUUUUUUCGGUACUAAUUUACUUCUGUCUUUUUUUUCCAGAAGUUUGCUUUGAAAUUGAGGAAAUUUAAUGUAUUUAUUCCUAUGUUUCCCUAAUUAGUUUUCUUAAAAAAAACAUCUCCAAUUGUUUAAAUUUUUGUAUGGUUAUGUUUUAGCUUUAUAGUUUAAUUAUUAUUUUUGAGUUUUAAAAAGGAGUUUUAAUUACCAUUUUAGCUUUAAAACCUCUAACUAUCGAUUUUAAUUAUCAUUUUUGCUUUAUAUGUUUCUAGCUCAAUUUGCACGUAACUUCUAGAAAUUUGAGUCAAAGAUCUCUUCACUUGAGGACUCGAGAGAUUUAUCAGCUAUCUCACUGUCUGACCUGAUAAACUCUUUGUUUGCACUUGAGCAAAGGAGAGCAAAUAGGCACGAAUAACAACCUGAAGGUGCUUUCCAAGCAAAAGCCAAUGUAGGCUCAAGUCCAAAUUUGAAAGGCAAGAAGCCCUGGCACAACAGAAGAGACAAACCAAGAAGAGAUGAAGGAAAAGGGGUGUUUCCACCAUGCACUCACUACAAGGAGCCAACACAUUCAGAGAGGUAUUGCUGGUAUAGGCCAGACAUUCAAUGCAAGAAAUAUAAACAGUUUGGCCAUGUGGAGAAAAUGUGCAAAGGCAAGGGAAAGGAGGAUGCUCAGCAACAAGCUCGACCUGCUGAGGACCUUCAAGCUUAGAAGGAGCAUGUGUUCACAGCAUCCUGUUUUGUCAGCACAACAAAGGCCAAAAGUGAUUGGUUAGUGGACAGUGGCUGCUCACACCACAUGGCAGCUGAUGAAAGGCUGUUUAAGGACCUAGACAGAAGCUUUACCUUGAAGAUCAGAAUUGGAGAUGGAAACUUGAUUGAAGCCAAAGGCAAGGGUAAUGUGUUAGUAAGCACUGGUUCAGGUAAUAAACUGAUUACUGAUGUGCUCUUUGUGCCUGAUAUAGAUCAGAUUUUUCUUAGUGUGGGCCAAUUAGUGGAAAAAAGUUAUACCUUAGUCUUUAGAAAUGGUUGUUACAUUGUUCAAGACUCACUUGGUCAGGAACUGGUUACUGUAGCUAUGAAUGAUAGAUGUUUUAUGUUGGAUGUAAGUCAAGUAGAGAGAAAGGCUUACACCAGCCUUGCUGGUAGCACUGAUCUCUAGCAUAGGAGAUUAGGCCAUGCUAAUUUCAGGUCUUUUGAUCUAUUGCAUAGGCUAAAUUUGGUUAAUGACAUGUCUAAAAUUGAAGUUAGUGGCACUGUUUGUGGGGUUUGCCAGCUUGGUAAGCAGGCUAGAUUGCCUUUUCCUACUGAUAAUGCUUGGAGAGCUCAGGAGAGGCUCGAAUUGGUGUAUUCUAAUGUCUGUGGUCCUAUGAAAACUCCUUCAAUAAGUGACAACAAGUAAUUUGUUCUGUUUAUAGAUGACUUAACAAGAUUUUGUUGGGUUUAUUUUUUGAGGCAGAAGUCAGAUGUGUUUAAGACAUUUUGCAAAUUUAAGCCACUUGUUGAGAACCAAUCUAGUUGCAGAAUUAGAGCCUUGAGGACUGACAAUGGCUUUGAAUAUCUUUCUGAUAGAUUUCAGAAGUUGUGUGAAAGUGCUGGGAUUCAUCAUCAACUCACUACUGUCUAUACUCCUCAACAAAAUGGAGUAUGUGAGAGGAAGAACAGAACUGCGCUUGAUAUGGCCAGAUGUAUGUUAUUUCAGAGCAAGCUUCCAAACCAAUUCUGGGUUGAGGCAGUCAACACCUCAGUAUAUCUGCUCAACAGGUUGCCAACUCGAGCAGUCAAAGACAAAGCUCCUUUGAAGGAUUGGCAUGGACUCAAACCAGUGGUAACACACUUGAAAGUAUUUGGUUAUGUGUGCUAUGUUCAUGUUCCAGUGGAAAAGAGAACCAAGCUUGAAAGUAGAGAUGUUCAGGAAUUUUUGUUGGCUAUAGUAGUAACAAGAAGGGCUACAGGGUGUUUGAUCCAUCAACAAAGAAGGUACUGUCAGCAAAGAUGUGAAGUUUGAUAAAGAGAGGGUAUGGAGCUAGAAUGGUGUUGAAGCAGGCUUGCUUGAGGAAAAUCAGUUGGACUUGGUUACUGAACCUACGGAAGAGGGAUCAAAUCUUGAUGCUGUUGAUGAUGCACUAGUAAAAGGCACCAGAACCUUAGCUGACAUUUACCAAAGGUGCAAUGUUGCAGUAGUAGAGCCUACUGGCUAUGAAGAGGCUGUCAAGGAUAAGAACUGGAAGAAGGCUAUGGAAGCAGAAUUGGAGAUGAUCAACAAGAAUUAGACUUGGGAAUUGGUGAACAGGCCAGACCACAAGAAAGUCAUAGGUGUUAAGUGGGUGUUUAGAUCCAAAUACAAUGCUGAUGGCUCAUUGAACAAGCACAAGGCCAGGCUUGUGGUGAAAGGCUACAGUUAGCAGUAUGGAGUUAAUAUCAUGGAGACAUUUGCUCUAGUAGCAAGAUUGGAUACAAUGAAGCUUCUAUUUGCUUUAACUACUUAGAAACAGUAGAAGGUUCACCAAUUGGAUGUAAAAUGAGCAUUUCUGAAUGGCUUUCUCAAUGAGGAGAUUUUCAUCGAGCAACCAGAUGGAUUUAAAGUUGCUAGAGAGGAAGACAAGGUGUACAGGCUGAGAAAGGCACUUUAUGGCCUAAAGCAGACACCAAGGGCCUGGUAUGAUAGGGUUGACACCUACCUGUCUAAGCUCGGGUUUGAGAAAAGUGUUAGUGAAGCUACACUUUAUGUGAAGAAGUCAGAAUAUGAGACAUUGCUGAUUGUUUCUCUUUAUGUGGAUGACUUGCUUGUAACAUGAAGCAAGAGUGAGCUCAUUGAUGAAUUCAAAGUCCAAAUGCAACAAGUAUUUGAAAUGACUGACUUGGGGAUCAUGACUUACUUCCUUGGUAUGGAAGUGCAUCAGUCUGAUCGAGGCAUUUUCAUCAGCUAGCAUACUUUUACCUUGAAGAUUCUUGCUAAGUUUUGCAUGCAAAACUGUAAAACAGUCAGCACACCUGUUGCUCAAGGUGAGAAACUGACUAGUAAUGGAGACAAGGAAAGGGUUGAUGAAAGACACUAUCGAAGCCUAGUUGGUUGUUUGCUAUAUCUAACAGCAGCUAGACCAGAUAUUAUGUUUGGUGUCAGUUUGUUAUCAAGAUUUAUGCACUGCUGUAAUGAGGCUCACUUGAAAGCAGCAAAGAGGGUUUUUAGAUACAUUAAAGGGGCUGCAAAUUAUGGUGUGAUAUUUGAAAGUGGAAUAGAGCUAAAACUUGAAGGAUAUUCAAACAGUGACUGGGCAGGUUCUCUUGAUGACAUGAAGAGUACCUCUGGCUACUUUUUCACACUUGGAUUGAGUGUGUUUUGUUGGAGUUCGAAGAAGCAACAGACUGUUGCUCAGUCCACAGCUGAAGCAGAGUACAUUGCAGCUGUAGCAACUGUUAACCAGGCCAUAUGGCUCAGGAAACUCCUUCAAGAUCUCAAUGAGAAUCAAGUUGAAGCAACUGAAAUUUGGGUGGACAAUCAAUCGGCAGUUGCUAUAGCUAAAAACCCUGUGUUUCAUGGAAAGACUAAGCACUUUAAGAUUAAACUUCAUUUUGUUCGAGAGGCUGAACAAACAAGAGAAGUCAGCCUUGUUCAUUGUAUCCCAGGGGCUCAAUUGGCAGACAUAUUGACUAAUCCAUUAGCAGCUACUCGAUUUGAAGCCUUGAGAAAUGGAAUUGGUAUGUGUUGCAUACAGUCCAAGGAGGAGUGUUGAAAGUUGGCCUGUAAUGCAACAUGGAACCAGUAGCUAACUAUCAUCGAGUUCAGCAACAGCAAAGCAACAUGAAGUGCAGUAUUUGAGUUUGACCGAAUACAACAGUAGCUUAGUUCAUUUUGUUUCAAUGUAAACUUGUUUAGUUACAAAUUUGUGUAAGAAAGUUAGUAGGAUUAGUCUUUGAUUAGUCCUUGAUGUAAUGGCUGAUUGGUCAGCUACUUUUGUGUAUGAUUUUAGCUAUAAUCUAGUCAUGUAUUAGUGGGGGCAGUUAAGCCAUUAGGUAACUGUCAAGUUGAUAUUUUUUGUAACUCCAAUAUAUUUCAAAAUUUGAAUAAAAAAUACUUGUUGUUCAGUUACAUUUUUCUGAGUGUUCAAGCUUGCUUACUGUUUUCUUUUCUUUUGCUUCGAUUUCCAUUGGUUUUUUCUUUGCAAAUUGGUUCUUUUGCUAUUGCCAAACUUCCAACAAGUGUGUUGUUUCCUUGUCCUCUUUUGCCUCUUCUUCCACUCAUCCAUUUCAGAGCCUCGAGAUGUUGGAUCUUAAACAUCUGCCAAAGUUGAGUGCCCUUAUUAUGAAAGAUGCAGGAAUUCGUUCAGCAACAACAUCAACAAUGGCUCCGUCUACCACCUUUUCCCAUCUUAAGAAAAUUUAUGUAGUAAGAUGCUCAAGUAUGAAGACGUUGCUUCCACAUUGGUUGCUUCCAAACAUCUAAAACUGGAAGAAAUUUGGGUGUUAGAAUGUGAUGAGAUAGUAGAAAUAUUGGGAGCAGCAACAUCAGAAGUUGAAGAAAAAGGGAGUGAUGCAUUAAUCAAAUUCCAUCUUCCCAAAUUGAGACUACUGACAUUCUGGGAAUUACCAAAUUUGAAGAGCAUAUGCAGCAAAAGUGGACUGAUGGUUUGUGAUUCUCUCCAAGUUAUCGAAGUUUUUAGAGAUUGUGAUAAACUGAAGAGAAUUCCUUCAUUUGUUCCCCUUGUUGGCAAUGGGCAACCAUAUGCGUAUGCUUCACCUUAUCUUACCAUCUUCUCAAGCACAUAAUGGUGGGAAUUGUUGGAGUGGGACGACCAUCCAAACUUUAAAAAUGUUCUUCGCUUCAACCCCGUGGAGGAUAAGAGGUAUGAACCAUUUAUGGUUUAGUUUAUUUUUUUAUUUUGAUAAAUCUAAUUUCUCCAUAUUAAUAAAAUUUGAAGUAUAUUUGUGAAGAUGUUGAAGAGAAAGAGAAAAGGGUUGGUGGGAAAGAAGUAGGGGGAGGAUAGUGAAAAAGAGAGGAGAAAACGAAUGAUGAAAGUAAAAGGUUAAGCAAAGGUAAAUAAGAAAUAAAACUACCUCCACUUUUUAAACAUUUCCCCCCUCUUACCAUUCCUUCUAUUCUCUUUUUCUUCUCUAAUAUGUACAUAUACUUACCAAAAUAACCUUCUAAAUAUUUAUUAUUAAAAUAUUUAUAUUAAUCAAAAUGAUUUUAGGUGACACAAAACUUAUUUCCAAUAAAAGUUAGGAAAGUAUUGUAAAAAGACAUAAUAUUUUUUAAUUUCCAUGUAAAAUUUUUAGAAACAUUAAGAUUUAAAAAAUAAUAAUUGCUUGUUUUUAAAAAAAUAAUAUUUAUUAAAAAAUAUAAUUGGAUUCAUUCAUAUGUAAACGUAAUGAUAAAGAUUAAAACAAUAAUGUACUUUCAUAAAAAUAUGAUAUUAGAAAUUAAAAGUGGAAAUUAAAUAAUAUAAAUUCCUUUUCUUAAGUAAUAUAAAAAUUGUAGGGAUUAACAUAGUUAAUAAUAUUAACAUAUUUCUAAAAUUAAAUAAUAUUUUAAUUUAUGAGGACUAAAUGUGAAAAUGAAAAAGGUGAAAUCCCUUUUAAAAUAAAUUAAAAACAUUAAGGGGAUUAUGUUGCAAAUAAGCCCUCCACGUUUCCCAUAUAUAAAAGACAUUUUCCUUUUUCUUUUAAUGUGUGAUGGAUAAGUUGGAAAAUAAAAAUAAAAAAAUACUUAGUUUCCUUCCUUUUUUUCUUGCUUCAUUUUGUUGUCCGACUUUUUUUCAAAGCUGAAGGUUUAAAUUUUUUUAGUCUUAAAUACUGAAAAUAUCAUAGGUUCUCAAUAAUUAUGAGUUUGUAACGCCAGAAAGUUUACAUUUUUAAAAUAUCAUAGGGACACAAACGUGUAUCCAGACCGUGUGUGGCUAUGUUAGUGCAGGGUUCACACAGGCCAAGGACACUGGCGUGUGUCCAGGUCAUGUAACACACUGUUUACAAAAUAAAGAUCACACGGGCGGAUGACACAGCCGUGUGUUAGGCCAUGCGGGACACACGGGCAAGCAAACAGGCAUGUGUCAAGCCGUGUAGGACUACACGGGUGUGCGGGCCAGUUUAUAGAAUUUUUUCAUUUCCUGAACUUCGUUUGAAAUGAAUACAAGCCUUCUGUAAGGCCGUAUGAACUGAAUUAAAUUGUAUAAAUUGAUAUUCUAUUAUCUGAAAUUGAGUACUAAUAAUCUGUGUGUGUAUUGUGUAUGACCAAUGUUAAUAGUAUCGAUCUACUGUAUUCAAGCAUGAAUUGUAUCUAAAUAUCCGCAUCUGUAUUAACUGUCAUGUGAAGUCUGCAUAUGCAUUAGGUGGAAAUUGAACAAGAAGGAAGUAUUAUGUUCUGACAUAACGAUUAAAUUAAUCACUGUCAUAUGUACUCUGAUCUGGGAGCUAGACUGCAAUUUCUGAAACGUGUCAGACCGACCCUAUAUGGUGUGUAGGGUUAGAUGGGUAAUAAGUAUCCUAUUUCAUGUGUUAGGNNNNNNNNNNNNNNNNNNNNNNNNNNNNNNNNNNNNNNNNNNNNNNNNNNNNNNNNNNNNNNNNNNNNNNNNNNNNNNNNNNNNNNNNNNNNNNNNNNNNNNNNNNNNNNNNNNNNNNNNNNNNNNNNNNNNNNNNNNNNNNNNNNNNNNNNNNNNNNNNNNNNNNNNNNNNNNNNNNNNNNNNNNNNNNNNNNNNNNNNNNNNNNNNNNNNNNNNNNNNNNNNNNNNNNNNNNNNNNNNNNNNNNNNNNNNNNNNNNNNNNNNNNNNNNNNNNNNNNNNNNNNNNNNNNNNNNNNNNNNNNNNNNNNNNNNNNNNNNNNNNNNNNNNNNNNNNNNNNNNNNNNNNNNNNNNNNNNNNNNNNNNNNNNNNNNNNNNNNNNNNNNNNNNNNNNNNNNNNNNNNNNNNNNNNNNNNNNNNNNNNNNNNNNNNNNNNNNNNNNNNNNNNNNNNNNNNNNNNNNNNNNNNNNNNNNNNNNNNNNNNNNNNNNNNNNNNNNNNNNGCUUGAAUCUUGCAUUCAUGUUUUCCUUUUCAUGCUUACACUGACAUAUCAAUACUUCAUAAAAUAUCCAAUUCAUUCACAGAUAUUCAUUAUCUGCUACUGUUAUAUAUGCUUGCAUUGCAGGGACAUAGCAAUGGAGUACGUAGAGCCUGUUCUCGGCAUUGCAAAUUGUCUCGGAACUCCUGUUUGUAAAUAUUUGCAAUAUCACAGAAAGCUGAACGAUUAUGUGAGAAACUUCAAGAGGACCAGAGAUGAAUUGAAUUGCAAAAUGGAAGAUAUAGAGCUGCAAUUGAAAGCAGAGCUUCUUCGUCCUCUGGGGAAGAUACCGAAGAAGGGAGUUGAAAAUUGGUUGAAAGCUGUGAAAGAGAUGAUUAGGGAAGCACAAGUUGUUGAAAACAAAGUCAGUAACGGGAGAUAUCUCUGUCGGGCUUGCAACGGGAAGCUGGUUGAUGAAAAGACUCGAGAAAUGAAGGAAUUUCUUGAUAACGCUCCUAAUGCCUCUGAAGGUCUUGCCAUGGAUGGUCCAAGUGCUGGGUUGCCACUGCCAACAUCAGAACUAGUUGGAGAGGAAGCUGUCAGAAAUGAGAUUUGGGCAUGUUUGAUGCAGGAGGAGGUGAGCAAGAUUGGGGUUUGGGGGAUGGGUGGUGUGGGUAAAACCACUAUCAUGAAGCACAUCCACAAUGAUCUUUUGAAACAGCAAAGAUUCGAAAGGGUAAUCUGGGUUACCAUAUCAAAGGAGUUCAAUGUAAUGAAGGUACAAGAUAAUAUUGCAAGUGCGUUGGAGUCGAAGGAAUAUUUAGACAAAGAAGAGGACAAGCUCAGACGAGCUGCAAUCUUGUCAGAAAUGCUGAAGAAGGCAGGAAAGCAUGUUCUAAUCCUAGAUGAUGUGUGGGAUAAAGUCUCUCUAGAGGAAGUUGGGAUCCCCGAGCCAAAUGGUAGCAAUGGCUGCAAGUUGGUGUUGACAACCCGUUCGGAGCAUGUCUGUAAGUACAUGGGUUGUAAGGUGAUAAAAGUGGAGCCCCUUUCAGAAGAAGAGGCAUUGAUACUAUUCUUGAGUGAAGUUGGACCUAACAUGGUGCAAAAUCAAACUUUAAUGCCAACUUUGAAGCUUGUUGUCAAGGAAUGCGCAGGUCUGCCUCUUACAAUUGUCGUUAUAGCUGGUACAUUGAGAGGAGAAGUUGACCCUCUUAUUUGGAAAAACACACUCAGGGAAUUGAAAGAGAGAAUAGGGAAAGUGAAAGAAGCGGAAGAUAAAGUGAUCGAGAGUUUGAAAGUUAGCUUCAAUCACUUAAAAGACGAGAAAAUGAAGCAUUGUUUCUUACAUUGCGCAUUAUAUCCUGAAGAUUAUAAAAUUUGGAAGUAUGAGCUAAUUGAGUGCUGGAUUGAAGAGGGAUUCAUAGAUGAUAUGAGUACAAGACAAGAAAUGAAAGAUAAGGGCCAUGUUAUUUUGAAGAAAUUAGAAGAUAAUUGCUUGUUGGAAAAUGUCUCGAGUGAAACAGUGAAAAUGCAUGAUGCAGUGAGAGACAUGGCAUUGUCGAUCACAAGAAUGAAUCCUCGAUAUAUGAUACAAGCAGGUUUGCAAUUAGAAGAGUUACCAGAAAAGGAGCAAUGGAGUCCGGAUAUUGAGAAAGUGUCACUUAUGUAUAACUCCAUAUCAGAAAUUUUCAUAGAUGUGCUACCCACAAAAUGCCAACUGCUCACAACCUUGUUAUUGCAGUUCAACCUUAUAAAGAAGAUCCCAUAUUCUUUCUUCACAAACAUGCCUUGUCUUCGUGUUCUCAAUUUGUCCUUCACAUGGAUCGAGAGUUUACCAAAUUCCAUCUCUGAACUAAAGAACCUCACAACAUUGUUGCUUUCUUGCUGUUCUGGAUUAAGAGAUCUGCCUUGUCUUUCGAUGCUUCAAGAAUUGAAGAAGUUGGAUCUUUUUGGGACUAAAAUUGAGGAAGUCCCUGAAGGAAUGGAUAUGCUGAUAAAGCUAAGAUAUCUUCGUCUUCAAGUGUUCAGUCUGAAAGAGAUACCCGCUGGACUUUUACCAAAACUCGUUCACCUUCAGCACUUGGGUUUUGAUGUGUACAAUGAAAAAACAAGUCUAAAAGCAGAGGAGAUGGAACCAUUGAAGAAGUUGGAGUGCUUUACCGGACGUUUCGAAAACAUCAAUGAAUUCAAUAAGUUCAUCUCCUCAAUGCAACAAAGUAAGAAAAAUCUCAUCAAGUACCAUUUACAGGUGGGCUCAACUUCUAGGCUUCUUACAGGAGAUAAAACAGUAACAAUUUUUGGAGUCCAGAAUUGGGAAGGUGAGUUAAUUAUGCACCCAAUUGAAAUUCAAGAGUUGAAUAUUAUAAGGUGCGACUAUUCGAGAAACUUAGUCGAUGAUAAUUCUUCCUUCAAAAAUGCGAUUGACUUGAGGGUUUGUAGGAUUUCGGAGUGUGAAGGGAUAGAGUGUGUUGUUUCCCUGUCCUCUUUUGCCUCUUCUUCCGCUCAUCCAUUUCAGAGCCUCGAGGUGUUGUAUCUUUGUGAUCUGCCAAAGUUAAGUGCCCUUAUUAUGAAAGGUGAAGGAAUUGGUUCAGCAACAACAUCAACAGUGGCUCCGUCUGCCACCUUUUCCCAUCUUAAGAAAAUUACGAUAUCCAAAUGCUCAAGUAUAAAGACGUUGCUUCCACAUUGGUUGCUUCCAAACCUCCAAAACCUGGAAGAAAUAUCAGUGUCAUUCUGUGAUGAGGUAGUUGAAAUAUUGGGAGCAGCAACAUCAGAAGUUGAAGAAAAAGGGAGUGAUGCAUUAAUCAAAUUCCAUCUUCCCAAAUUGAGAGAACUGAAAUUGUUGUAUUUACCAAAUUUGAAGAGCAUAUGCAGCAAAAGUGGAGUGAUGGUUUGCGAUUCUCUCCAACUUAUCCAAGUUCUAAACUGUUAUAAACUGAAGAGAAUUCCUCCAUUUGUUCCCCUUGUUGGCAAUGGGCAGCCAUUUGCAUAUGCUCCACCUUCUCUUACCAUCAGGUCAAGGAAAGAAUGGUGGGAAUGGUUGGAGUGGGAUGACCAUCCAAACUUUAAAAAUGUUCUUCGCUUCUACCCCGAGGAGGAUAGGUAUGAACCAUUUAUGGUUUUGUUUAUUUUUUUUUUAUUUUGAUAAACCUAAUUUCUCCAUUUUAAUACAAUUUCAGGUAUGCUUUUGAUGAUGUUAGAAAGAGAAAAGGGUUGGUGGGAAAGAAGGAUAGUGCAAAAGAGAGGAGAAAAGGAAUGAUGGAAGGAAGAGGUUAAGAGGCUCCACAUUGUAAACAUAUAAAUUUGCUUAAUAUUUUUUCUAUGUUUGUUUUGAAAGAAUGAGUAUUGAAUAUAGAUAAUAUAGAGAAAUUUUGUAGGGUUUAAAAAUAAUUAUCCCUAAUUUUCUCAUUUUUUUAUUUUUUAAAUUUUAGAAUGUUCUAAAAUUUUAAAAAUAUUUUUUAACCUUUUACCAUUUUAUAUAUUAUUAAAAUUAAAUUGACUGAAUAAUUAUAUCACUUAUUAUCAUUGAAUAAAACAAAACAUAGCUAAUAACCAUUGUUAAGUACCAGUUCAGCUUUUAUUAAUUCUCAAUUCUUUUUUUGUUGAAGAUAACCGAAUUCAUAAUUUCAACAUUAGAAAUCUUGUAUUUCAAAUUAAAAAAUUUUCAAAAAGGCUAAAUUACAACUAUAUGCUGAAAAAAAAUUGAAAAUUUAUGUUGUUUUCUUGAAAAUUUAUCAAUUUAUAUUAUUUUUUACAAAUAGAAAAGAAAAUGUGUCUUAUAGGAUGUGUUUUCUCUGAUCUUUCGGAGAAAACAUGAGACGCGUUUUAUUCUCUUUCCUAAAAAGUGCUCUGUAGGAUGCAUUUUCAGAUAGUCUAAAAUUGUUUUUUUUUUCUUACAGUUUGAAACUAGAAGUUUGUAGGUUUUGCUUUUCUCGUGUUCAAGAUAAAUAUUGUUAUAGUUUUAAGGUAUGUUUGAAUUUACGGUAGUGUCGUGGAGUUGGGUGACUUACGAAUUUCACCUAGCAUGUGAGCAUGGAGCCAUCCGAGAAUCUGGAUUGCAUUGCAACUCAAGGUCCCAGUUGACAGUGGUUCUAUAGUCUCCGAUUGAAGUGUAACUAGGUCUUUAAUUUUACAAAGGUUAGUUAUCAAUGAAUGGAGCAUAAAUGGGGUCCCAGUUGAUGGUGGUUAUGUGAGCACGACAACGAGUUUCUCAUCAUCAGGGGAGGAUGCUAUUUGCCACAGAAACAGAAGUAUGAGGAAAAAAAAUGCAAUGGCGUUUUAGUAUAAUCAAGUAAUUCGGUAGAAAUGGAUAAAAUGCUACUACAAUUUUCUUCCUUAUACUUUUGUUUAUGUGGUGUAUAGCUUCCUCCAUUGAUGAUGAAAAAAAAUCCUUAUUGUGCCUACAAAACCACCGCCAACUAGGGCCAAAUUUAUGUUUUGUCCCUUGGCAGUAUAACCUUUGUAAACUUGAAACCUUAAUUACAUUUCAACCCGAGACAGUAUAAUCACCAUCAAGUUGGAUCUCGAGUUGCAAUGCGAUCUCGACUGCUCAGGUGAUAACUCAAUGCUCACAUGGCAGGUGAAGUUUGUUGGAAUAAAAAACCGAAAACUUUGAAAUUAAUAAACUAACCUCCUCUUUUGUUUGUUGGUCUAAAGUUAGUCAAAUGUCCUCAAGCUCGGUCAAUAUAUUGUUGGCGGGGUUAUUCCACCUAUACCAAAAACAUAUUAUUUCAACAGUACAAUGAAAAUUUUGAUAUAGUAACACUACACCAAAACAGGCUUUUAGCGGCGCUAAAAAGCGCUGCUAAAAGUAUUUGCGGCGCUUUUACAAGCGCCGGAAAAAACGCCACUAAAGACUACGUUGCUAACUUUAGCGGCGUUUUUAGAAAAAAACGCCGCUAAAGACCACGACCUUUAGCGGUGCUUUUGCCACAAACGCCGCUAAAGAUCAUGACCUUUAGCGACACUUCUCGCAAAAAACGCCGCUAAAAACAUAACCUUUAAAAAAAUUAUUUUAAUCAAAUAAUAUCUUUAGCAGCGCUUUUCAUUCAAACACCGCUAAAGAACAAACCUUUAGCAACGCUUCUCACAAAAACGCCACUAAAAACAUAACCUUUAACAAAAUUAUUUUAAUCAAAUAUUAUAUUAUAUUAUAUUUUUUAAUUUUGAACUUUAAAUAUACUUUUUAAGGAUAAAUAAAAAAUAUUAUUUAAAUUAAAUUUUCUAUGAAAAUUUUAACUUUAAAACUAAAUAUAAAAAUGAAUGAAUUUAGUUUUAAAAUUUAAAAUAAUAAAUUAAUAACACAAUUAAAAUCCAAAAAUUAGAACUCAAGUUGUCGUAAAUAUUAAAGUAAAAAUAAAAAUUUAGAAUCAAAACUAAAAUAAAUAAUACAUUUGAAAAACAAACUGACUAGUUGAACCUCCUAUGACUAUUCACAUUGCAAGCUAAUAAAAAAUACAAUGCAUUAAAUUGUUGAACCUGCCCAGGUACUAACUGACAGCAGAAUAACACAUUAAAUUGUUGGAUUAAACAUGUAGAUUACAUACUAAUGUAGACCUAAAUAUUUUCCUGUUCCUUCUACCCUUAAAUCUAGAGAUAGCAAAAACCAGGGACCUAACACCAGCAAGUUCAAAUAUAUUGCUAAAAGAAACACAACUUUAGCUCCAUCCAAAUGUACUUUCAAUUCUCAUUUCAAAUUCUGCUUCAAUAUAUUGGAUGAGUUUCCCCACUGCAUGAUGUUAGGUGAUCAAACAGAGUACUUUAAAACUGCAAAAGUAAGAAGCAAGCAUCCUCACUUGAUAAUCUGAAGGGUUGUCUUCCUCACCACUUGGUCCUCUAAAAGGAAGCAGCUGAGCUUUAGGUUUCUCUAAAGAGAAAACAACAGGAAUUCCACCCUCAAUCCCAUGAUCUUUCCUUAAACGGUGUCUCACCUAGAAGCAAAAAUUUGAGAAAGAGUAAAGUGAAUGAUAUCAGGAAAUAAACCCCUAAACAAUGUCUUCUUAAUGCAAUAGAUAAACAAGAGUAAAAUUGGAUAUCCAAAAUAACAAAUACAAGCAUAAGAUAUUAAAGUUUUUCCAAACCAAAUAAAAUCUAAUUGGACAAGGCCCCAAAGUAAACACCAAUCAUAAGAUCAGCAACCACCAGAAAACUGCAGUAGCAAGUGUAGAUUCAAAAGCCACAGACGCAAAGAGCCCCCAUUUUAGAAUGAUUGACAACUCCAAAACAACUUCACCGUAUUCAGAAUCAAUAAUAUAAAAUGCCAGAAGCUCAAAUCACAAUAAAUAAUAAAAAUACAAAAACAUAAAUAUUUCAUAACCUAAAGCUACUGAUACUAAAAUAAAAUACGUAUCUAGAAGCAAAACCUAACCUUCGUACACACUAAGUAGCAAAGUUGAUCCUAAUCCUUCAGCUGAAUAACUUAUGUUGCUUGCUUACUCGUGCUUUAGAUGGGUGCAAUAUCAAACAAGCAUAUAGAAGGAUUAGCCAUGCACUAUCAUAAUAAUGAAAAAUAAAACAUAAAUUAGAGCAUAACAUGAACCACAUAAAGAAAUUAGGAGUUCUAUAUAUGGUGAAAAGCCAAUAUUUGACUGCAACGUUAUAUAGAAUUCUUAUAGCCAAUAGGUAAAACUGAAAGUUCAUAAGUCAUGAUGAUACCUUUGUGUCAAUGUUAUCAAUGCAGUCCAAAACAAAAUCAGGGUUUAACUAUUUGAUUAAAAAAAUUAAAAAUUAUUUUAUAAAUUAUUUUUUUAAUCAGGGUUUAAAUUUGACAAAUUUAAAGACUAAAUGUUAUUUUAUCUAUAGAUGAAUUGAAAAAUUGAAAUGCCAACUAAGCUUCUUAUAUAGCAGCUCUGUCAAGGUUCUGAACUCCAGCAGAAUUAAUCAAACAUAAUCAUUGACAAUAUAUAUAUAUAAUGUUAUAUAUAAAACCUUGUUUGCUCUAAAGAAAUUUGGAUGGAAAAGGGUUAAUUUCAUAUUCUUUAAAUUAUUUAAAAUAAAUGCCUGCAUGGAUGGAGUCAAGUACCUUCUGAGAGUUCAGGUUGUUCGAAUGGGGUACAAAGAGACUUAGCUGCUCCCAUCUCACCCCUUGUUCGAGCUUCCACAUCUUUCUCCACCUCCUAUAUAUACAAAACAUAAAACAUCAUUUAAGAAAAAUGAGCGACAUAUGCCUCGAGAGAUUAGAAUAUGAUCCAGCUCAUGUUGUUGCCUAACAAAAUACAGGUUUUACAAACUCAUCCCACGUUUUUACAACUUCAAUGCAGGCAUCUCUUUUUUGUUUUGCCACAUCGAAUAGGUUCUGUUGAAUCUUAUCCAACAUUCCUUUUACUUGCUCAACCAAAAAGACUCUAGAGAUAUCAGUCUUUUCUCCAUUGUCACAGCGAACUGCACGCACCUGUCCAAUAAAACACAUUCUGGUUUCAAUAAUAAGAAAAUAAUACAUAAAAGAAUAGAAGGAAAGCGGAAAUAAGAAAAAAAAGGGUUAAUUGCAUGACCUUAAAGAGCUAAGAAAAUAAGUAAUUUUGUUUUGGACUUAAAGAGCAUAAUUUUGAGUAUUAUUGAGGUUAUGAAUUCCGAGGACAUGUAAGAGAAGUGCACAAGGCUACUAAUACGAACAUGGACAGCAAAUAAUCAUCUUUUAUGUAAUAAUUAAACAAAUAAGCUAUCCGAUUUUUCUUUUGGUUUGAGUUGGUAAAACGUUAGGCAUGUUCGUAUUCAACAUAAGUUUUCUGACCUUUAAAUUUUUCAUUAUUGUUGCAAAUAGAAGCACAGUCACUGAAAUGAGAAUCUCGACAUGCUCCUUGUCUUUCUAGUUGCAGGCUUCUGUUAGCAGUAUAUUACUAUCAAAAUUUGCAAUUGCAUUUGAAGAACCUGCAAGAAUCUCAUAACAGCUAACCAGAACAGGGUCAAAAAAUCUCUUCUGUUCUUUUUUCUUUCUGUUUUUUAAGGCUGGAGUUGGUUGGAUCUCAGCUACCUUAAAUAAAUUUGUUUGACUUCGAGCACCCAUUAAAUACAUUAAAUCAGGCCCUUCCACUUAUAGCCAAUUGGUUUUAGGUUGGAUGCUUAACACAAGUCAUGUAAACUUGUUGUUACUUUUAAUUUGAGUUAAAUUUUAGAACUUUUCAUAUAGACUAGCAACUUCCCACUCAAUUUUCCACCUCUUUCUCGCAACCAGAAGAAGGAAACACUGAUAACAGAAAAAAUAAAUUAUCUCAAAUUCAAUUCGUGCAAUUAUCAUAUCAUUUUUAUUUUCUUUCUCAUUUUACAUUUUUUUUUCUUGGCAACCAAGCAGGAGUUAGACUACUAACAAACUAACUAAAAGCUUACUUUCUACAUCUAACUAUGAAAAAAAAAAAGUAAUCGAAAAUAUAAAUUUGAGAUAAUUUCAUCAAUCUGCAAUUUUCUUUCUCGGUUUCCAGUGCUUUCUCAGUAACCAAAAGGAAACCGUUAAAAUUACAACAAAGAGGAGAAAAAAAAAAGAAAGCUAUUCGAGUUGAAGUCAUGCAAUUUUUAAUUUCCUUCUCAGUUCUUCAUUUUUUCCUUCUCAAUUUCCAAGUUGAGUCCGCGAAAUUAUUACAUAAAUUUUGCAAUUUUCCUUCUCAAUUUCCAAACUUUACUAGAAACCAAAUAAAAACUAUAAAAAUUAAACGAUAAAAGAAAAUAUAACCUUGUGAAAGGGACCGACGCGCUGCUCACUGGCAUAAGACUUGAAGUUCCUCAUCACCAUCUCGUUAAUUACUAACCUCGGUCCUCGAGAUCCCACUUGGGCCUGCUCUGGCUCGCGAGUCGUGAACUCAUCCUUCGUUUCCAUCUCCAUACGGAAAUAAGCGGCUGCUAAGUCAACUCACUGCUAUUGAAUCGGUUUGAGACUUCGAGACGAGUUGAUGGAAUAAACAAUUAAAAGGAAGAUGAAAAAGUUUAAAAAGCAUUUGAGCAAAAUUUCAGAAGGGAUUUUUAGCGGGAAUUUGAAAUAAACAUCACGCGUCAGAAUAUUUGGGGCGCUUACAAAAAAAGUCACUAAUUGAAUAACUUUUGUGGCGUUUUCAACAAAAACGCCACUAAAAAUUAAAUUUUUGUAGUGAAACGGGCCGUUUUGAAAAUUUUAAAUAUAUAUUUGCGGCGUUUUUGGUUCAAACGCCGUUAUUGCUUACCUUUUGCGGCGUUUUUCUUAUAAACGCCGCUAAUAAUUAACUUUUUUUACAAUUUUAUAUUUAAUUAUUAUAUAAUUCAUAUCAAUUUUAAAUAAAUAGUUUUUGAAAAAUUAAGUAAUAUUUAAAAGAAUUAGAUAAAUUUUAAAUCUUUUAUAUAAUUUUUAUUUUUAUUUGUUAUAAUUUGAUCCUAUGCAAAAUAGAUAGUUACCCAUCUAUAUCAAUCUGUUACUUUUUAUUUAUUUAUUUAUCAAUGUUUUUUUUAAUCUAAUAUUUAAAUAUAUCAAAUGGUUUAGAUUAAAUAUUUUGAAAUAUAAAAGCAUUAAUUGAUUGUAUAAAAUUUCAUCAUUUAAGAAAUCUCAAGUAAACCAUAUAAUAAAUCUCUUAAAUAAUUUAAACUAUAAUCAUAAUUUUAAUAUAUUAAAAUUAAUAUUAUCUCCUUUACAAUUAUAUAAGAAAUUAUUUAAUAUAUAAAUUAAAAAAUACUAAUUACUCUAAACCCUAAACUCUUAACCCCUAUCCCCAAUCCCCUGAACAUUGAAUCAUAAAACAUAAACCUUAAACCCCUAACCCCUAAACAUUAAACCCCAAUGAUGUGAGCUUGCCUACGAACCAAAUGGAGAACGAACAAGAAGCCAUCAAGCUGCCCAUUGGUCCAAUAACGCGAGCUAGAGCUGACUUUGGACGAAUUUCUGAAUGAAAUAUCAUUUUAGUGAGGCAAUUCACUCUCUUUAUUCUUCAAAGCUCAAUUGACUUAUCUUUACGAGUGGCGUCAAUCUGACUUUGUUUCGAACUUAUCACCAUAAGGUGUGGCGUUCCAACUAUACCGAAGGUUCCUAUUUUGCUAAAUAGAGGGUCUCGAUUUUAUCUACCAUUUCUUUCCUUUUUCUUUGAAACCUUUAAGCCCGGGUCCUUAUUUGCUAAUAAGGGUUCGUUCUUGUUUCAUUGGAAAUCACUUAUCUCCAUUUUGCUUCCUAAACCAUUUAAAACCAAUAUAACUCAUCUUAUUGAAUUUGAACUAAAUCGACACUACCUAAAUUCGAUCGGGAACAUAAUACGACUCGUCACAUCAUCCGAAUCGAGCUCGUAUCACCCAACCCUUAAACCAUAAACCAUAACCCUUAACUCUUAACCCUCAACUCCUAACCCUUAACCCCUAAACCUUAAUCUAUAAAUCUUAAACCAUAAACCGUAACCCUUAAGCCUUAAACGCAUAAACUAUAAACCAUAAUCUAUAAACCUUAAAAUAGUAACUCCUAAACUUUAACCCUAAACCAUAUACCCUUAACCCUAAACCCUAAACAAUAAUAAUAAUUAAUUUAAUAUUUUAAAAUUAAUACUAUCUUUUUUAUGAUUAUAUAAGAAAUUAUAUAAUAUAUAAAUUAAAAAAAAUCAGUCAUAUACCUAAAAAACUUUAAAAUUAUUUUAAAUAAUAGUAUUUUAAUUUUUGAAUAUUCAAUUAAAAAUAAUUUGAAUUUUAAUUAAUAUAAAUAAACCAAUUAAAUAAUAAUAAAUAGAUAAAAUAUUUUUGCGGCGCUUUUCCAAAAGCGCCGCUAAAAACCCCGAGCAUUAGCGGCGCUUUUCCAAAAACGCCGCUAAAGCCCAUACUCUAGCGACGCUUUUUAAAAAACGCCACUAAAGCCCCUAAAACUAAAAAAAUGACGUCGUUGGGCUUAGGUUUUUUGCGGCACUUUUUCAAAAACGCCGCUAAAGCCCCAUGCAUUAGCGACGCUUUUUAUAAAACGCCACUAAAGCCCCAAAAACUCAGAAAACGACGUCGUUGUGCUUAGGUUUUUUGUGGCGCUUUUUGAAAAACGCCGCUAAUGCUCAUUUUUAGCAGCGUUUUCCAAAGUGCGCCACUAAUGCUCAAUCUUUAGUGGUGUUUUUUCAGAAGCGCCGCUAAUGCUUGAUUUUUAGCGGCGUUUUUUAUCCAAACGCCACUAAAAGUGCCGCUAAAAGCCUGUUUUGCUGUAGUGUAACAAUAUUAUGAAAUGAAUUUUAUCAUGUUAUGAAUGAGAAUUCAUAAGGGGAAUUUCUAUUGCAUUCUAUAUUUUUCAUAAUCUUUACAGGUAGUAUACUCUAUUAUAUAUAGAGAGAUUAGACUCUUCAUAUUCUAAUACACAAAUAAAAAAAGGGGUUAUAAGGAGAUGAAAGGUUAAAAAUUAAAGAAAAUGAAAGAUUACAGGUCAAAGGAGAUAAAAAGUGAACGGUGAAAGGUUAAACAUCCACUUGAUAGCAUUAAUAAUAAAUAUUCUAAAUGUAGUAAAAAUCAUAAAAAUAAUUAAAACACUGCUCCAAAUGAACCAAAUCCACUCAAGCAAUUACUGAAACUUCAAGGAAAAUGUGAGAGCAUAGAUUAAUUAUUUUUAAAUAAGUUAAUUGCACCAAAUAUUUUUAAAUUAUUGCCUGCAUUCUAAAUUAAUUCAUUAAAUUUUAAAUCAUUUUAGUUACAUUUCUAAACUAAAGAGAAUAUAUCAAUCAAGUUUUUUUGUUUUUAAAACCAUUAAUUUAAUAAUAAAAAGACAUCUUCAGUCACUCUCAAUUUUAAAAUUGAGUAAAUUAGUCACUUUCAAAAAUUUUGGAAUAAUUUAAUCUCUGUCAAUUUUGAAAGUGAGCAACAAAGGACAAUUAAUCACGACGUUCAUGUCUUUCGUCAAUUGUGCAUGAUUUUGAUUGGUAUAAUAACACAUUUAGCCCUUGAUGUUUACAUAUUUUGUUAGUUUGGUCUUGAUUCUAAAAAAAAAAACAAAUUCAGUCUCAAAAUUUACACAUUUACAAAAAUAUUACAGGCUAAAUUUAUUAUCAUAUCAAUUAAAUUUAUGUAAAAUUGACGAAAAACAUUAAUAUUAUGAUUAAUUGCUCACUUUUGAAAUUGGUAGGGAUUAAAUUGUUUCGAUUUUUUUAGAGGAACCAAUUUGCUCAAUAUCAAAAUUGAGAGGGACUAGAGAGGUUGUUUUACCUAGUUUAAUAAUUAAAUGACAUGUUAAAUCUUAUGUGGUAUAAUUUAAAUAAAAAUUAAAAAAAUUGUAGAAAUAUUUGUUUUAAAAAUCUAGGUUUUGAAGUUUUUACGAAAUUUUUAUUGUUCAUUUUUUUUUAAAUUUCAGUUUUAUUUAAUUUUAGUUUCUUUAAAAUUUUCAUUUUAAAAUUAGCUAUAUAAAAUUUAACGUGUCAUUUAAUGAUUUUAAUAAUAAAAUGACCUGAUUAAUAUAACAUCAAUAGUUUAAAAAUGUAAUUAGAUCAGUUUGAAGUUUGAAAAUAGAUUUAAAAUAAUGGUCAUAAUUUAGGGGUGGCAUUUUGCAGUUUAGACUUUAGACCAUAAAUUACUGAGAUGAAAACUGUAGCGUCGUUCUGCAGCCUUUUUUGGUCCAGGCAGGGCAGGCUGAGCUCAAAAAUUUGGGUAGACCUUGAAUAAAACAUAUAGACCCAUAUUUCAUAUUAGGCAGAGCUUGAGCAAAAAUAACAGUUAGCAAUACCUUGUCUAAGCGUGAGCCAAAUCCGGUCUAUGAGAUAAAGCAUUCAGAUUGAACUACCGGUAACAUUAUCAGUUUCUGGUCCAUCCUUAAUGGGGAUGCAAAGAACAAAAUUAACUAACUUUUGCCACUAUAGAAUGUUUGUUCAACUAAAUAAAAUAAAGAUUGUCCUAUAACUCUAGUUCCAUUCAAGUUAAAACUUCUUCAGGCAAGAUAAUAGUAACAUAAUGCUAAAAGAACCAGCACAACCACCACGUCAGGAGCUGCCCAUAUCCAAUAGUUCAUCGACUUCUUACGUUUCAGGAUGGCUUUUGGGAGGGACUCGGUUCUUUUGGUUUGAUUCCUGUACCUACUAGUAUUCUCCUUUGGUACUUUACCCUUCAUUGAAAUUGUAGCAGGAACAGGUGCAUCAGUAUUAACAUCGACCUUCUCGGGUUCUGAAUCUUGUGCCACAGCUUCAAUCAGUUCCUCGGGAUUCACAGCAUUUGUCGAUCCUGCCACCUUCUUCUUAGCUCUCUUUUCACGCUCCUGAAAAAAAGAUCGAAAGAGUUUCAGUUUCAACCCACAAACUAAUAACCGAUAAAGUGAAGCCAGAUAAGGAAGCAAAUGAUUUCCUUGAGCUUCUUUUGAGCUUCCAUU
rnacentral:lncRNA from 1 species